UUCCUUUGAAUCUUUUAUUGGCAGAAGAAGCAGGAGCAUAAUCAUCAUUAUGCAUAUAAGAAGAUUGAUUCAACAGAGGAGAGUCAUUGAUUUGAGUUGAGUUCCUGACAAUGGUGUUCUUUGGUCAGAUGGUGAUUGUCCAGAUGUAUUGCGUGGAUAUACUAAAUGAGAAGAUCAAAAAACAGGAAGCAAUAAUCUCGGAGCAUCACUGGCUUGUUAUUCAGGAUCCACCUCUGUGUUCCUAUUACAGCUAAUCUGGUAAAAAUGAUCAGAGUUCCUUUCAGGCAAUGAAGGUGGAAUCACAUCAAAUUCCGACAAAAG